rnacentral:lncRNA from 1 species
CAAAAGUUCAGGGUGUGAUAUCUAAGGUCACUACGGAAAAUCCAGAGACCAGAUACAUCACUCCUAACUGCAAGACAAAAGGAAAAGUCAGGUGUGGUGGUGCUUCCCAGCAAUCUCAGAUCUCGGACACUGAGUAAGACCUAAACACUCUCUGUCUCUCUGUCUCUCUCUCUCUCUGUCUCUCUCUGUCUCUCUCUCUCUCUGAAAAAGAAACAGUGAGGUGAAUUACUUCUGAAGAAAUAACGAAAAGCUUCCAGCCUACUUAGAGGAAGCAAGACAGAGAGGAAGACAGAAUAAGGUGGUAGAAAUAAGCACGAAUAUACGAACAUAUUCUCUUUAUGCUAGGCAUCCUCAUACAAUCCUGGCAGAGCUGGGGCCCCUGGCAACCUCAGCGCGUGAUCUCAGCACAGGGCUCUGCUGCCCUCCGGUGGCCGCUCGGUGUCACUGCACGCCCCGCCUGCUCUGGUCCCGGGAGGAGAGAGCUCCAGCUUGGGAAGCUGACCUGCAGGGAUGGGUGCCCCUCCUCCUGCCCCCCAAGUCGCCCUCCCAUCCCUCUCCCUUGGGGACAGUUUAGAGCUACCUGUCCGCACAGCCUCACGCACUCACAAGCCGCCUCUGGGAGGUGAUUGCCUCAUGGGCGUGGUACACCUGGGUUGACAGGAGGUGGGAUCUGGGCUGAGAGAAAUCGCCUGGUUCAGGGCCUGGGAGCCUUCAUCUCGCUGCCUCUGCUCCCUGGACUCUGCUUUCUGUCUGCCAGGCCCCUCCGCCAUGCCGCGCUGCCUUUGAGCUGCUGACUAGGGACUGAAACCUCUCCCAAGUGCGAGCCGAGAUAAACCUCUCCUCGGUUAACUUGUGUGCGCCCCGUAAGCGUGUCUCGGUGACCAAGUCACUCCCCUCGAGGUCCUGCCCUUGACACCUGCACGGCACGUGAGUGACACCUCUCGGGGGCAGGUCCAACCUUGGCUCUUGGGGAGGUUCUGGAGACGCGGUGGGGCAGCCCCCGGUGAGUCCUGGACGGGUCUAGGCCCCUGCCCCAGGUGUGUGGUCAAAAACAGUACGUUGUGUGGGUGCAGGAGUGGCUCUGCCUGUGUCCGACGCUCUCCACAAGGCCCCGGCAGCUUCCCGGCCGCACCUGUGCCCACCUCGGCCUGAGGGUGUGGGCCCACCUGAGCCACACUAGAGCUCCUGACCUGGCAAGACCCGUGGGGUCCUGAGCCUUCCACGAGCUCUAGGAAGGCUCGAUCGGUCUCUGGGAGGGCCUGACUCCCCUGCUGCUCAGCCACCACACAGCGCCCAGUCACGUCCUGUCCUCGUGGGAUUUCUUCCCCAGCUAGCAAGGGCGGCCCAUUGUGACCUCACUGGACCCGGUCGUCUCCAUGGCAAAAGUCUUUGGCCAUUCAUACCCGUGUCCAUCCGUUGCCUCAGCCUUUCUCUUCAGCCAUGGCAAGGGUCCUAGCAGAGGUUCUUCAGCCUUAGUCAGCCCACUUUAGCUUGCUCCUUUUCUUCCUCGUAGGCACAACAGGCAUUGGGCUCUCCCAUCCCAACAGCAGCAUAUGCAUCCUUUUCAACUGGAAUAAAUUUUAAAGUGAUUUUUUAAAUCAUGUCACCCGUAAUUCAUUCAUUCAUCUGUUAUGGCCGAAUUUGGGACCCAUAUCAUUUAACCAUAUUUCAGGCUAAAAGUAAGAAAUAAAUUUGAAAGCCUUAAGUAACGAAAAGCUGGUUUGUUUGUUCAAUUCUGACAUCUGACUUCGGGAAGGAUUAAAAAACUUCCAGCAUUCACUGUGUUGUUCUCCUUCCUCAGACCUGGCUCGGCUUCUGGGUUCUUAGGCAUACCUUCUCUUAUCUAUUCCAGGCUUCCCUCGGGCCGUAGCAGCUCACAGAUGAUUUCCCAAGAUGAGAAGGCUCUCAUUUCCAUCAUUUCAAAUGACAUUCUUCACGUUUGUUCUGAUUGGGUUUGUGUAAAGGAUUUAUUCAAAACCAACCUGUAUAACCAUGGAAAUGACUAUCCUCAUUGGGUUUAAUCCAAACAAAAUCCCCUCCCAAAUGUGCACAAUGGAGGUCUUGGGUUGAAGGUGGAGGUGUUCUCCCAAAAUAAGCUGCGAUGUUCCUACAACUGUGCGUGACAAAAAGUGUCUGUUACAGGGUUCCAACUGUCCCUGGCCAUAAACGUACACAUCCCACCCUCUUCCUCAGACAUUACGUUGCCUAAAUCCUCCCCCCAAUACAGUCCCAGCUUCCAUUCUUUGUUGCAUUUCUAAUUCAAACAUUUAGGUGUGAAACACAUGUCACGUACACACAUCCUUGACAUCCACACCUGAUUCGGUCUGAGAUCACCUAAGCUGAAAUAGCCCUGAUAGCCACACUAUUCUUGAUUAUCACUAUUCAAUGCUUCUGUGAAAUUCAUAUCUACUGCUGAUGCAGGUACAAGUGACCAAAAGAGAAAUGAGGAAAGAAACACAGUUCAGAAACCCAUCUGUGCACUCAUUCCACAGUUAUAAAUACUUCAAGGACCAAACUACUACUGCAAACAAAACAGGGCAUUGGAGCAAAACAUUAAAAUAAAGACUCAUCAUCAGUACUAACUCCCAUUCUGUCCAUCAUAACGUGCAUUACUGAAAAGAAAAUUGUCUCCAAUAAAUUGUAAGGUUUUAUGCUCUAAAUAUGUCAUAGAUUGCUUAUAACACUCCUAGAUCACUUAUCAGAAAUUGCAUCCUUUUAUGGAAACUGCAGGUCAUGGAUUCUAUCUGGAUGUCCCCCCUCAAGCCCCUUGCACCCAGAGGUGAGGGCUUCCAGAGGGUGACUGGGUGAUGGGGGUGCUACGCCAGGCUUGGUGUCAGGAUGUGGGCCUGGUCGGAAGAGGUGGGUCAGCGCGGGUGUGACCUGGGAGGGUGUCUCUUGCUCCCUGGCCCACACUUUACCAUGUGCCUCCUGGCCUCCGCCAGGCAAGCAGCAUUUCUAUCAAUGUGCACCUCUGACAUGCCAUCCUGCCAUCCUGCCAUCCUGGAGCUAGCUAACUAUGAACUGAAAUGUGAGCUGAAACAAACCUCUCUUCCCUUAAUGUGUAGUGCUGAGUAUUGUGUUCAGGGACAAGCAAGUGGGUGAUACAGAUGUUGGUACAAGAAGUCUGCUGGUCACUGCAGCGACUGUACCUCACCAGGUGGUUCAGAGGCCUGUGGAAGUGGUCCACAGCAGUUUGGAAAGGUUUGGAGAUGCCAGCUGGAGAAGCAGCCCUAGAAUGCUCUAAUCUGAGCUUGAUGGAAGAUUCUGGUCCGAGCACAGAAGACCGGAGUGCAGAGAGAUUGCAGAUGAGAAAGGCCAGACUUAGGAGGUUUCAGUUGAGAAGAAGGAUGCCAGUGGCAGUUGGAUCCAGGCCAUGUGUGUUGUGCUCCAGCAGAAAAUAGGACUGUAUUGUGUUCGUGUCCUGAGAUUUGUGUGAGACUGAUACGAAGGGUGGAAGAAUCAUUCAUCUGAUGGAGAAAAUAUCAAGGUAGCCUAAAUAUCAGGCUGUAGCAUGGAUGCUGCUUGCUACUUUGAGCCAGGUUUGUGCUGAAAAUGAGGAGCAAAAGCCCAUUUAAAAACUUUUCAGUUCCACCCCCCCCCCCCAAAGAAAGGCCUGUAAAGAUGGAGCAAUGGACAGCCUGGUGGAUCAAAGAUUAGCAUUAAAAAGAAAUCAAGUACUUUACCAUAGGACGAUGGAAAAGAUACCCUGAAGACACAUAAGGAACCCACAAGGCCCAACCUUUCCAAGGCUCACAGUUGCAAAAGGGAAAGACUUUGUUUGGAGAGGAGAGCCCCAGGGCACCCUGCGUGAGAAGGGCCACCGUGGCGGGUUCCCUGGGAUUCAUCCAGUUCAUGGUGCUCAGCCAUCCAGGCCCAUGGAUGCUUCUGCAGCCAUGAUGCACAAAGGCCUAAGGAGGACUGCUUGGAGCCAGUGGUAGAACUUUGUGUCAUCUACAGGGUGCUGUUUUCACAGGUGUGCAGAAUGCAAGAGUUGAGUCAGGGAGGCUUCCACCCAAAUUUCCAAGGAAGGCCUGGCAGGCCAGGCUGGGUGUCCCUGAGAGGGCAGUGCAUGCAGCUGUGAGAGUUAAGCCAAAGGUGCGCUGGAGAACCCAGGAUGAGGGUGCAGUCAGGAACAUGGAACACCUGCAGAAAGCCACGCACCCAAACAUGUAACCCUCAUCUAAUCAGGAAGGAAACAUCAGGAAAACUUAAAUUGGGGGACAUUCUGUAAGAUAUCAGCUCAGUCAUACUCCAAACUGUCAGCUCAUACCAAACGAAACAAGGAAAAAUUGUGAAAACAUCAGUCAAGGGGCGUCUGAGGGAUGCAACAAUGAAAUGCAAUGUGGCAGCCCGGACGGGACUGCAGAUUGUUGUGGAGAGCAAGUGGUGAAGGUGGAUCUUAGUUAGUAAUUAUACAUCAAUAUUUGCUCACUCCUUGUACAGGAUGUACAAGACUAAUGGAUGACAUUAAUAACAGGAAAUGGAAGAGCUGGGUGGCCAUCUUAAUUGUGUAUAAAUCUAAAGCUUGUCAUAUAUAUAAGCUGUACUACGAGUUGUUCUUGUUUUGGUAUUUUUGGUUUUUCUUUCUUUUGGUACCGGGCAUUGAACUCAGGACCUUGUGCUGGUGAGGCAGGCAUGGUGCCACUGAGCUAAAUCCCCGGCCCCUCAAGCUCUGUUAUGUACAUGUAGCCACUCCUCAAAUGAUUGUGAACUGCACAAUAAAAAGAAGCAACAAUGUAAACUGCAGGCCUGCUUUCUAACACCGAAUCUCCCACCCUCAGCCAUAAUAGAAGCCUAAAUAUACUCCACAACCUCAACUAAAUCCCAACAAAAACCGCAACCCAAAGUGCACCUU